CAGCGUGCCGCGAGCGUAGUAACUUACACCUCGCUUUUGCAGUGCCCUGUGUUGCCGGCCGUUAAACACCCCCCUAAACUUAGUGGUUGACCUCGGAUUAGGUAGGAAUACCCGCUGAACUUAAGCAUAUCAAA
rnacentral:rRNA from 1 species